UACGUAGGGGGCAAGCGUUGUCCGGAUUCAUUGGGCGUAAAGAGCGUGUAGGCGGCCAGGUAGGUCGGUUGUGAAAACUGGAGGCUCAACCUUCAGAGGUCGACCGAAACCAUCUGGCUAGAGUCAGGUAGGGGAACACGGAAUUCCAGGUGUAGCGGUGAAAUGCUUAGAUAUCUGGAGGAACACCAGUGGCGAAGGCGGUGUUCUGGGCCUGUACUGACGCUGAUGCGCGAAAGCGUGGGGAGCGAACAGG
rnacentral:rRNA from 1 species